AUUGUGUAUCUGCGCAUGUAGCGAAUACUGAAUAAAUCCAACGUAAUAUUAAUCAGCUGUUUUAAAUUAAAAACCACUCCGGGUUGAUAUGCAGGUCGUGAGCGCUGAGCAGACGGAUUUAGGAAAUAUUUCUGUUAAUGUGCCAAAAUACAAAGUUUUGAAAGCAUUUCAGUCGAGAAUGUAUGUUUUUUAAACAAGAAUCUGCAGUAGGUUCAUAAAGAUAUCGCCUAUUUAAACAUUUCCUUGGAGUUUUGUGGCGAUGGGAGCUCCAGAUAAUCAGCGGGCGCUCCGCGCGUAUUAUACGGGACAACGGCGCCUCACCUCGGCCAGUGUCUCUGAAAAUCUCCGCUGGCUGUGACGUCAAUGUAGUGUUUAAACUGUGGAUAAAAUUCAUUUCGGGUAAAUUUAACGGGCAAUCUUUGGUCUUAUAAGUAUAUAAGCAGUGUUUCUUUGUAUAAUUUGUUUGUAAUUUGUAAAUUAAUUACAAUAAGGAUUAAUAUGAACUGGGUUUGGACGUAACUUCAGCUUUAGGACCCAGGAGGUCGCAUAUCUAGGAUGCAUUCGUCGAUUCGCAUGCUGCGAUUGGUGGUCCAGAUGCAACUCAUUUUGAGUGACAGAAAAACUGACCAAUCAUACUGUUCCUCUGAAUGGGUGGGUUCUCUUAUCACUAACUCUCAUAGAUAUGUAAUAUGUAACGUUAUGUAUCUAUUAUGACAAAUUCUGCCCGCUCGCUCGCUUGGUUCGUGUUUUAAAGAUAAAUGUGACUUUACUGCGGUCUUUUUCGGUUUAUUUAGUUUUGUGUUAAUUAUAUCCACAAAGUAUUCGAAUAAAUUGGUAAUGUAAAACUAUUCUCCGCUGUAAAUUAAUUGUGUGCUCAAUUGCGACGCCCUGUGUUGAAUUUUCCCGCGGAAAACAUGAACCAUUUCUGACUGAAAUGUUUGACAAAGGCGUCUUACUGGAGUACAGUAUCAUUACUGAGGGGAAAUAUAACAUUCAUUUAAUUCCACAAAAGGUGAGUAAGAUAUUAAAUGUAUAAGUUGUCUUUUUAAAAUGUUUAAGCUUUCUACAUAUUGUAAGUUGAACAUUUAUUAUUAUUAAUUUCGCGACCUAUUAUCUAAAUUGUGUGUUCAUGAAGGCCUGUAACAUACUGCAGCUUCCUGCAGGCAACGUGAAACAUUGCUGAGGGAGAACUUUAUUCACAACAAAAGGAUAAAGAUGAAGAGGCGGGACUUGAGCAGCUUGUGAUGGCUGUAAUUGUAAAGAAUGGAUCUUCUAGGAGUGGAAGCCCAAAGGAUGCUGGAAUUGUUAUUGAGGCCUUAAAGGUGUUCACAGGGCAUGCUUUAUCCUUGGAUCUAUGCAUUAAAUCUCCAGUAUCCCAGGCAUCUUUUCAGGUGUUUCAGAAACUUUUCUUGGAGCUGGAUUCUUCAAAGUUUAUGAACUGAUUACAGUACAGUAAGUCUAAACUGCUGUCUGAUUUUCUGGGUGUGAAUCAAUGUAACAGAACACAAACAUGGAACCUUGUGGACGGGAAAUGUGGACGGUUUUCUUUAAAGACUGUAAAAUACUUUUUGAAGUUUACACUGUUACAAAUACAUCAUUAAAAUGAGAUGCUUUCCUGUUCUUUUGACUGCAAUAAAAUAAGAAUUGAUUCA